rnacentral:rRNA from 1 species
CCUACGGGUGGCAGCAGUGGGGAAUAUUGCACAAUGGGGGAAACACUGAUGCAGCGACGCCGCGUGAGUGAAGAAGGAAUUCGUUAUGUAAAGCUCUAUCAGCCGGGAAGAAAAUGACGGUACCUGAGUAAGGAGCCCCGGCUAACUACGUGCCAGCAGCCGCGGUAAGACGCAGGGGGCAAGCGUUAUCCGGAUUUACUGGGUGUAAAGGGAGCGUAGACGGCAGUGCAGGUCUGGAGUGAAAGGCGGGGGCGCAACCCCCGGACUGCUCUGGAAACUGGACGGCUGGAGUGCAGGAGAGGUAAGUGGAAUUCCUGGUGUAGCGGUGAAAUGCGUAGAUAUUAGGAGGAACACCAGUGGCGAAGGCGGCUUACUGGACUGUAACUGACGUUGAGGCUCGAAAGCGUGGGGAGCAAACAGGAUUAGAUACCCGAGUAGUC